AUAACGGUCCUAAGGUAGCGAAAUUCCUUGUCGGGUAAGUUCCGACCCGCACGAAUGGCGUAAUGAUUUGGGCGCUGUCUCAACAGUGGACCCGGCGAAAUUGUAGUAUAUGUGAAGAUGCAUAUUACCCGCGACUGGACGGAAAGACCCCGUAGAGCUUUACUGUAACUUGAUAUUGGAUUUCGGUAAUUGAUGUACAGGAUAGGUGGGAGACUGAGAAGCAAAGGCGUCAGCUUUUGUGGAGUCGCCCUUUGGAUACCACCCUUUGAUUAUUGGAAUUCUAACCUUGUGCCGUUAUCCGGGCAAGGGACAGUGUCAGGUGGACAGUUUGACUGGGGCGGUCGCCUCCUAAAGAGUAACGGAGGCGUUCAAAGGUUCCCUCAGAACGGUUGGAAAUCGUUCGUAGAGUGUAAAGGUAUAAGGGAGCUUGACUGAGAGACAGACAUGUCGACCAGAUACGAAAGUAGGACUUAGUGAUCCGGCGGUAGAGAAUGGAAUUGCCGUCGCUUAACGGAUAAAAGUUACCUCGGGGAUAACAGGCUUAUCUCCCCCAAGAGUUCACAUCGACGGGGAGGUUUGGCACCUCGAUGUCGGCUCAUCGCAUCCUGGAGCGGAAGUACGUUCCAAGGGUUGGGCUGUUCGCCCAUUAAAGCGGUACGCGAGCUGGGUUCAGAACGUCGUGAGACAGUUCGGUCCUUAUCUGUCGCAGGCGCAGGAUAUUUGAAGGGAGCUGUCCUUAGUACGAGAGGACCAGGAUGGACAUACCGAUGGUGUAUCAGUUGUCACACCAGUGGCACGGCUGAGUAGCUAAGUAUGGACGGGAUAAACGCUGAAAGCAUCUAAGUGUGAAGCCCACCCUAAGAUAAGAUAUCCCAUAUCGUAAGAUAGUAAGAUUCCAGGAAGACGACCUGGUUGAUAGGAUGGAGGUAGAAGUGUAGUGAUACAUGUAGCUGACCAUUACUAAUAGAUCGAGGGCUUAACCAC
rnacentral:rRNA from 1 species